rnacentral:rRNA from 1 species
UACGUAGGUGGCAAGCGUUAUCCGGAAUUAUUGGGCGUAAAGCGCGCGUAGGCGGUUUUUUAAGUCUGAUGUGAAAGCCCACGGCUCAACCGUGGAGGGUCAUUGGAAACUGGAAAACUUGAGUGCAGAAGAGGAAAGUGGAAUUCCAUGUGUAGCGGUGAAAUGCGCAGAGAUAUGGAGGAACACCAGUGGCGAAGGCGACUUUCUGG